UCAGACGUUAAUAAAUGGUUUUCCCUUUUCUUCCCUCUUAUAUAGGGGUUUUUUUUUUUGUUCAACAUAUGAUGAUCGACCUUUGAAAAUUAAUAGCCAAAGGAAGAUUAUAUCGUGUGUAUCCGUUAAUUAUCCCAAGCACUGCUGAGGUGAAUACCCUUUUUUAUCGUAACUUAAUUAUAAAACUAUUUUGUAAUGAUUGUAGUAUAUGAUAUUGUUCUAAGCAUUCAAUUUUUUUUCUAUUGCGAACUAAUUACAACUUUAUUUUGAUAUUUUGUUGAUUUUGAAUUAUUUUGUUUUCUAGAUGCCAGCAUCUUUGGUUAAGAAAGCUUAAUAAUGAGGUAAUAAUGCAAUUGAGACCUAAAUCUUAGAAUGCCCACGAGCACUAUAUCGUUAAUCAAUUUUAAGAAAAAAAACUCAGUUAUUAUUUUCUUUAGUUUGUAAUAUAUAAUAAUUUUUACCGGUAGUUAGUAGUUUCAUUUUGUGCGGAAUUUGCAUAUCAUAAGGUUCAUCAAGUUGAUAAAAGAUGAAUGGCCUUAUGCAAUAUUGAUAACUAGAAUCUUAAUUAUGUUUAUGCUUAAUGAUAUUACAUGUAAGUUUAAUUGAGUAUUUCAGAAAUCUUUAUUCACGAAGUUUUAUCUGAAUUUUUGUUGUUGAAUUCUGUUGAUGCUCCAACUGAAAAGUUUUCUAAUUAGUUUUCUUGAAUUUGUUUGAGUUUUGUCGCAGGGUCUGGGGGUGUGAUUUUUUUAAAUGGUUGGAUCAACAUGAUGAAUUGUUCUUGAAGAAUUAUAGUUUGAUACUUUGAAAGACCAAAAAAGGGAAGAUAAUGCUACUAUCUCCUAGUCAGUAAUUAGUUAGAUAGGAUAUGUAUGUCUAAGAUAGAUAUUGAAUUGUAUUGCACAUCCUCUUUAGUGUGAUGUAAUUGUCAUUUGUUUAUCUUAAGAAUUACUUUUUACUUAUUUGUAAAUAACAAAAAUUGUUUUUUUUUUUGUUGUAAAUAUGUAUGUUAGGAGAAGCGUUUGUUAGAAUAUUUUAUUGCUUUUCUUUAUUUAAAUAGUAGUACUUGAAUCAUUACUAAAUGAUGUACAUCAAGAGAAAAAGGAAUAGAGGGUGU
rnacentral:lncRNA from 1 species